GACAGUAUUGCAUAGUGGUUUGAGCAUUGGACUAGGACUCUGGAGACCAAGGUUCUAUUCCUAGCUCAGCCA